CCUACGGGAGGCAGCAGUGGGGAAUAUUGGACAAUGGGGGAAACCCUGAUCCAGCGACGCCGCGUGAGUGAAGAAGUAUUUCGGUACGUAAAGCUCUAUCAGCAGGAAAGAAAAUGACGGUACCUGACUAAGAAGCCCCGGCUAACUACGUGCCAGCAGCCGCGGUAAUACGUAGGGGGCAAGCGUUAUCCGGAUUUACUGGGUGUAAGGGGAGCGUAGACGGCAGCGCAAGUCUGGAGUGAAAUGCCGGGGCCCAACCCCGGAACUGCUCUGGAAACUGUGAAGCUGGAGUGCAGGAGAGGUAAGCGGAAUUCCUGGUGUAGCGGUGAAAUGCGUAGAUAUCAGGAGGAACACCGAUUGCGAAGGCAGCUUACCAAGCUACGUCUGACGUUGAGGCACGAAAGCGUGGGGAGCAAACAGGAUUAGAUACCCCAGUAGUC
rnacentral:rRNA from 1 species